rnacentral:rRNA from 1 species
GGGUUGUGAGGUUAAGCGACUAAGCGUACACGGUGGAUGCCCUGGCAGUCAGAGGCGAUGAAGGACGUGCUAAUCUGCGAUAAGCGUCGGUGAGGUGAUAUGAACCGUUAUAACCGGCGAUUUCCGAAUGGGGAAACCCAGUGUGUUUCGACACACUAUCAUUAACUGAAUCCAUAGGUUAAUGAGGCGAACCGGGGGAACUGAAACAUCUAAGUACCCCGAGGAAAAGAAAUCAACCGAGAUUCCCCCAGUAGCGGCGAGCGAACGGGGAGGAGCCCAGAGCCUGAAUCAGUGUGUGUGUUAGUGGAAGCGUCUGGAAAGGCGCGCGAUACAGGGUGACAGCCCCGUACACAAAAAUGCACAUACUGUGAGCUCGAUGAGUAGGGCGGGACACGUGGUAUCCUGUCUGAAUAUGGGGGGACCAUCCUCCAAGGCUAAAUACUCCUGACUGACCGAUAGUGAACCAGUACCGUGAGGGAAAGGCGAAAAGAACCCCGGCGAGGGGAGUGAAAAAGAACCUGAAACCGUGUACGUACAAGCAGUGGGAGCCUCUUAAUGGGGUGACUGCGUACCUUUUGUAUAAUGGGUCAGCGACUUAUAUUCUGUAGCAAGGUUAACCGAAUAGGGGAGCCGAAGGGAAACCGAGUCUUAACUGGGCGUUAAGUUGCAGGGUAUAGACCCGAAACCCGGUGAUCUAGCCAUGGGCAGGUUGAAGGUUGGGUAACACUAACUGGAGGACCGAACCGACUAAUGUUGAAAAAUUAGCGGAUGACUUGUGGCUGGGGGUGAAAGGCCAAUCAAACCGGGAGAUAGCUGGUUCUCCCCGAAAGCUAUUUAGGUAGCGCCUCGUGAAUUCAUCUCCGGGGGUAGAGCACUGUUUCGGCAAGGGGGUCAUCCCGACUUACCAACCCGAUGCAAACUGCGAAUACCGGAGAAUGUUAUCACGGGAGACACACGGCGGGUGCUAACGUCCGUCGUGAAGAGGGAAACAACCCAGACCGCCAGCUAAGGUCCCAAAGUCAUGGUUAAGUGGGAAACGAUGUGGGAAGGCCCAGACAGCCAGGAUGUUGGCUUAGAAGCAGCCAUCAUUUAAAGAAAGCGUAAUAGCUCACUGGUCGAGUCGGCCUGCGCGGAAGAUGUAACGGGGCUAAACCAUGCACCGAAGCUGCGGCAGCGACACUAUGUGUUGUUGGGUAGGGGAGCGUUCUGUAAGCCUGUGAAGGUGUACUGUGAGGUAUGCUGGAGGUAUCAGAAGUGCGAAUGCUGACAUAAGUAACGAUAAAGCGGGUGAAAAGCCCG